AGGCAGCAGUGGGGAAUAUUGGACAAUGGGCGCAAGCCUGAUCCAGCCAUGCCGCGUGUGUGAAGAAGGCCUUCGGGUUGUAAAGCACUUUCAGCGAGGAGGAAGGGAUUGUAGUUAAUAGCUGCAAUUUUUGACGUUACUCGCAGAAGAAGCACCGGCUAACUCUGUGCCAGCAGCCGCGGUAAUACAGAGGGUGCAAGCGUUAAUCGGAAUUACUGGGCGUAAAGCGCACGUAGGCGGUUAGUUAAGUUGGAUGUGAAAGCCCCGGGCUCAACCUGGGAAUUGCAUUCAAAACUGGCUAACUAGAGUAUGUGAGAGGGGGGUAGAAUUCCAAGUGUAGCGGUGAAAUGCGUAGAGAUUUGGAGGAAUACCAGUGGCGAAGGCGGCCCCCUGGCACAAUACUGACGCUGAGGUGCGAAAGCGUGGGGAGCAAACAGGAUUAGAUACCCGGGUAGUC
rnacentral:rRNA from 1 species